GAUCCAACCAAGUGUUGAGUAGAAGAGAAAAAUAGCAAGAAAGGCAUUUUGCCAAAGAGAGAAACAAAUUCUCUCUAGUUGUUCUUUGCUUUGUAUCAUUGUUUUCUCUUCCUUUGUGAGUGUGUGAGGUUGGGUGUAUUUGGGUCUUUGGGAAAUUGAGUGGUAAACACUAUUGUAUAUCUCAUUGAUUAUAGUGGAAUACUCCGUCGUCUCCAAACUGGAUGUAGGCAAUUGCCGAACCAGUAUAAAUCUUGGUGUUGUUCUUGUUGAUUAUUUUGUUCAAUUUUUCUCCUGCCUGUUGUUAUUUAUUUUUCACUCGCAGUUGGUUGACGCUUCCGCACAACAAGUGGUAUCAGAG
rnacentral:lncRNA from 1 species